rnacentral:rRNA from 1 species
GUUGAACGCUGGCGGCAUGCCUUACACAUGCAAGUCGAACGGCAGCACGGGUGCUUGCACCUGGGCGCGAGUGGCGAACGGGUGAGUAAUACAUCGGAACCUUUCCUGUGGUGUGGGGUAACCCGGCGAAAACCGGGUUAAUACCGCAUACGAACUACGGAUGAAAUCGUGGGGCCUUCGGACCUCGCGCUGUAGGGUUGGCCGAUGCCUGAUUAGCUAGUUGGGGGGGUAAAGGCCUACCAAGGCGCCGAUCAGUAGCUGAUCUGAGAGGACGACCGGCCACACGGGGACUGGGACAGCGACAAGACUACUACGGGAGGCAGCAGUGGGGAAUGUUGGACAAAGGUCGAAAGCCUGACACAGCAAUGCCGCGUGUGUGAAGAAGGCCUUGGGGUUGUAAAGCACGUUUGUCCGGAAAGAAACCCUUGGGCCUAAUACGGACGGGGGAUGACGGUACCGGAAGAAUAAGCACCGGCUAACUACGUG